GAAUUUUUCUGGCUACUCCUGGUGGCACUAAUGCAGUCAUCAAUGUUUGAGGGAAAAGAGGACAGUCUCAACUUGGCUCUUGAUUCCCAAGGUUUCUGAAGCCACAACUCUUGAAGAGCUACAACACUCAACUGUGCCCAUUAUGGACUACGUUGCCAACGCAGGUUGUCUUAGGCCAUUAAGAAGCAUUGCUGACAGGGACAGGCUGGUUGAAGACUUACUGAUGUUUCAGGUGGUGAAUCGUGUUCGUGGACCAUUUGAAAGGUUCAGGGAUGGAUUAAAACUCUUAGGUCUUACAAAA